UAUUCUACGGGGGGAACGAGAAGAACCUUAACAGGUCUUGACAUCCUUUGACCAUUCUGGAGACAGAACUUUCCCUUCGGGGACAAAGUGACAGGUGGUGCAUGGUUGUCGUCAGCUCGUGUCGUGAGAUGUUGGGUUAAGUCCCGCAACGAGCGCAACCCUUGAUUUUAGUUGCCAGCAUUUAGUUGGCCACUUUAAAGUGACUGCCGGUGUAAGCCGGAGGAAGGUGGGGAUGACGUCAAAUCAUCAUGCCCCUUAUGACCUGGGCUACACACGUGCUACAAUGGAUAAUACAAAGGGUCGCGAAGCCGCGAGGUGGAGCCAAUCCCAUAAAAUUAUUCUCAGUUCGGAUUGCAGGCUGCAACUCGCCUGCAUGAAGCCGGAAUCGCUAGUAAUCGUAGAUCAGCAUGCUUACCGGUGU
rnacentral:rRNA from 1 species